rnacentral:tRNA from 1 species
CGGGGCGUAGCUCAGCUUGGCUAGAGCGCCACGUUUGGGACGUGGAUGUCGCAGGUUCGAAUCCUGCCGCCCCGA